rnacentral:sRNA from 1 species
AAAAUUUACCCAAAUUCAUAAUUAAUACUCUCACACCGACCACAGCAACAACAACAACAACAACAACAACAAGAGACCAACAAACAAAACAAAACAAAACAAACAAAAACAUAAAAGACAACAACAACAACAUACCGAACAAACGCCCGAAAAGGAAAAGACGAUAAUCAACAGGAGACAAGGAAAACGAAUAAACGAAAGAGGGAGCAAAGGGGACACGAAAAAAAUCAAAAUCCAAAACCGAAUUAAUAACUCUACGAUUUGGAUGACUAUCGUCCCGAUAACUGAUAGCAAUAGCCCGAUAACUGAUAACCGAUUAGCGAUAACCGAUAACCGAUUACCGAUAACAGUCAUCAGUUGUGUCUGAAACUGGACAGCCAAUCAAGAUCAAGUUCUGGAUCCCCGCCCACUCGUACACCCGUCAGUCAAUCAGUCAAUCAAUCGAUCAAUCAAUCAGCCAAUCAAUCGAUGAACUGGAAACCGCCAACCGAUAAAGCCACCCGAUAGUCGGAUCCAAUUAAAUCUAUAACUCUUUUUUGGCCCAAUUGACACCAAAACUAAAAAUAAAAAAAAUUAAAAAAUAAAAUACAAACUCAAAACUUAAACCGUUAAACCAGAGACACGUUCGAACAAGUUAAAAAAUUAUACUAAAAAAAAA